UCUGCAGCAAGGGCGAGUUAACGAGUGUCCCUUUGUGACAUGUGGGAAAUCAGUGAGCCUCCGAUUCUUUGUCAGAUUUUUCUAAUGCAGGGUUUUCCUCCUUUCAGUAAAAAUUAGAAAACAAGAGUAAGGACCGAUCAGAACUGAUACUCUUUCCCUUUGUUAGGAGACUUACACGGCCAGUUGGACGACUUAAUGUUCGUAUUCUGUAAGGACCUCGUGCUUGCCAGAACCCAGGGGACAAGGAGAGGUGACUCUCCCCUGUCCUGCCCACUCUGCCUGACACCAGUGCUGCUUGCAAAGGAUUCCAUCAGGGACAGUGGCAGAGCUUGGAAGGAACACAUCUGAAUGCUGUCAUCACGUCCUCGGGUCCUAUCUUGUGCACCAGGUUAACUUGACAAAUUCUGUUAAAACUCCACUGACACCGAGACACACAGCAGCUAAGUAUUGAUUCCUCAGUCUAAUAACUCAUCAAAAAUAAUAUUGCAGCC